UACGUAGGCAGCGAGCGUUGUUCGGAGUUACUGGGCGUAAAGAGUGCGUAGGCGGUUUUCUAAGUUUGAUGUGAAAUCUCCCGGCUUAACUGGGAGGGUGCGCCGAAAACUGGAAGGCUUGAGUAUGGGAGAGGUAAGCGGAAUUCCUGGUGUAGCGGUGAAAUGCGUAGAUAUCAGGAGGAACACCUGCGGUGUAGACGGCUUACUGGACCAUAACUGACGCUGAGGCACGAAAGCGUGGGUAGCAAACAGG
rnacentral:rRNA from 1 species